rnacentral:tRNA from 1 species
GCCAGGGUAGCUCAGUGGUAGAGCAGUGCUUUCAUAAGGCAUUGGUCGUGGGUUCAAUUCCCACCCCUGGCA